UACGUAGGGUGCGAGCGUUAAUCGGAAUCACUGGGCGUAAAGCGCACGUAGGCGGCUUUUUAAGUCAGAGGUGAAAUCCUGGAGCUCAACUCCAGAACUGCCUUUGAUACUGAGAGGCUUGAGUCCGGGAGAGGUGAGUGGAACUGCGAGUGUAGAGGUGAAAUUCGUAGAUAUUCGCAAGAACACCAGUGGCGAAGGCGGCUCACUGGCCCGGUACUGACGCUGAGGUGCGAAAGCGUGGGGAGCAAACAGGG
rnacentral:rRNA from 1 species